GUUUCUACUUGGGUUAGGAUCAGUUGCAGUGCUUUGUCUAUAGAAUUGCAUUUGUCCUGGCCUUUUGAGGUUAC
rnacentral:pre_miRNA from 1 species